rnacentral:rRNA from 1 species
AUUGAACGCUGGCGGCAGGCCUAACACAUGCAAGUCGAGCGAGCGGCGGACAGGUGAGUAAUGUCUGGGAAACUGCCUGAUGGGGGGGGGUAACUACUGGAAACGGUAUCUAAUACCGCAUACCAUCACAGAUGCCCAGAUGGGAUUAGCUCUUAGGUGGGGUAAUGGCUCACCUAGGCGACGAUCCCUAGCUGGUCUGAGAGGAUGACCAGCCACACUGGAACUGAGACACGGGCCAGACUCCUACGGGAGGCAGCAGUGGGGAAUAUUGCACAAUGGGCGCAAGCCUGAUGCAGCCAUGCCGCGUGUGUGAAGAAGGCCUUCGGGUUGUAAAGUACUUUCAGCGGGGAGGCGUUACCCGCAGAAGAAGCACCGGCUAACUCCGUGCCAGCAGCCGCGGUAAUAC